UACGGGGGGGGCAAGCGUUUGUUCGGAAUUACUGGGCGUAAAGGGCUCGUAGGUGGCCAACUAAGUCAGACGUGAAAUCCCUCGGCUUAACCGGGGAACUGCGUCUGAUACUGGAUGGCUUGAGUUCGGGAGAGGGAUGCGGAAUUCCAGGUGUAGCGGUGAAAUGCGUUAGAUACUCUGAGGAACACCGGUGGCGAAGGCGGCAUCC
rnacentral:rRNA from 1 species